AAGAUAAAAUUGCGAUACUUGGUGUGAAUUGCAGAAUCCCGUGAACCAUCGGGUCUUUAAACGCAAGUUGCGCCCAAGCCUUCUGGCCGAGGGCACGUCUGCCUGGGUGUCA
rnacentral:rRNA from 1 species